rnacentral:sRNA from 1 species
UGCCUUAGCAUGGAAUUUUUUCAGAGCCAACUUUGCUAAACUUUAUGCACUUUACGGCGAAUCGGUUACAAAGGUUGCUAAGCUCGCAGACCAUUUGAACACUCAGUAUGAGCUAGAUCAGCUGAAAGAGUUCAUUGAAGUGCAUGUUAAAGAAAACUACAGCGACGUCAUCAAAACGGUCGAGGCCAACAUUCGCUGGGUAGCAAGUAAUGGAGAUGGCAUCCUCAAGUUUCUACAGAAAAUUCAUUCCGAACCGUGUUAACGUAGGGUACAAAUGAGUUAAAAUGAGUUAAAAAGGGUUAAAAAAAA